rnacentral:rRNA from 1 species
GAUGAACGCUGGCGGCGUGCCUAAUACAUGCAAGUCGAGCGAACAGACGAGGAGCUUGCUCCUCUGACGUUAGCGGCGGACGGGUGAGUAACACGUGGAUAACCUACCUAUAAGACUGGGAUAACUUCGGGAAACCGGAGCUAAUACCGGAUAAUAUAUUGAACCGCAUGGUUCAAUAGUGAAAGACGGUUUUGCUGUCACUUAUAGAUGGAUCCGCGCCGCAUUAGCUAGUUGGUAAGGUAACGGCUUACCAAGGCAACGAUGCGUAGCCGACCCGAGAGGGUGAUCGGCCACACUGGAACUGAGACACGGUCCAGACUCCUACGGGAGGCAGCAGUAGGGAAUCUUCCGCAAUGGGCGAAAGCCUGACGGAGCAACGCCGCGUGAGUGAUGAGGGUCUUCGGAUCGUAAAACUCUGUUAUUAGGGAAGAACAAAUGUGUAAGUAACUAUGCACGUCUUGACGGUACCUAAUCAGAAAGCCACGGCUAACUACGUG